rnacentral:rRNA from 1 species
ACCCGCUGAACUUAAGCAUAUCAAUAAGCGGAGGAAAAGAAACCAACAGGGAUUGCCUCAGUAACGGCGAGUGAAGCGGCAAAAGCUCAAAUUUUAAAGCUGGCACCUCCGGUGUCCGCGUUGUAAUUUUGUGAGGCAUCUCCGGGUGGGGCGCCGGCCUAAGUUCCUUGGAACAGGACGUCAUAGAGGGUGAGAAUCCCGUGCUUGGCUGGCUGUCCCCGUCCAUGUGAGGUGUCUUCGACGAGUCGAGUUGUUUGGGAAUGCAGCUCAAAAUGGGUGGUAAAUUUCAUCUAAAGCUAAAUAUUGGUGGGAGACCGAUAGCGCACAAGUAGAGUGAUCGAAAGAUGAAAAGCACUUUGAAAAUAGAGUUAAAAAGUACGUGAAAUUGUUGAAAGGGAAGCGCUUGAGACCAGACUUCGGUGGGGAGUGAUCAGCCGUCCUUCUGGGCGGUGCACUUGCCCCCCUCCGGGCCAGCAUCGGUUGGGACGGCGGGAUAAAGGUCCCGGGAAUGUGGCUCCUCUCGGGGAGUGUUAUAGCCCGGGUGAAUGCCGCCAGCCCCGACCGAGGACCGCGCUUCGGGCUAGGAUGCUUGGCAUAAUGGUCUUCAGCGACCCGUCUUGAAACACGGACC